GCUACGGGAGGCAGCAGUGAGGAAUAUUGGUCAAUGGGCGCGAGCCUGAACCAGCCAAGUCGCGUGAAGGAUGACUGCCCUACGGGUUGUAAACUUCUUUUAUAAAGGAAUAAAGUGAGGCACGUGUGACUUUUUGCAUGUACUUUAUGAAUAAGGAUCGGCUAACUCCGUGCCAGCAGCCGCGGUAAUACGGAGGAUCCGAGCGUUAUCCGGAGUUAUUGGGUUUAAAGGGAGCGUAGAUGGGUUGUUAAGUCAGUUGUGAAAGUUUGCGGCUCAACCGUAAAAUUGCAAUUGAUACUGGCAGUGUUGAGGACAGUUGAGGUAUGCGGAAUGCGUGGUGUAGCGGUGAAAUGCUUAGAGAUCACGAAGAACCCCGAUUGCGAAGGCAGCUUACUAAACUGUGACUGACAUUGAUGCUCGAAAGUGUGGGUAUCAAACAGGAUUAGAUACCCUUGUAGUC
rnacentral:rRNA from 1 species